rnacentral:rRNA from 1 species
GACAGAGGGUGCAAACGUUGUUCGGAAUUACUGGGCGUAAAGCGUGCGCAGGCGGCUUCGCAAGUCAGACGUGAAAUCCCCGGGCUUAACCUGGGAAUGGCGUUUGAAACUACGGAGCUGGAGUGUGGCAGAGGGAGGUAGAAUUCCACGUGUAGCGGUGAAAUGCGUAGAUAUGUGGAGGAAUACCGAUGGCGAAGGCGCCUCCUGGGCCAAACACUGACGCUCAUGCACGAAAGCGUGGGGAGCAAACAGG